GCCCUUGUAGCUCAGUGGAUAGAGCAACGGUUUCCUAAACCGCAGGUCGCAUGUUCGAUUCAUGCCAAGGGCG
rnacentral:tRNA from 1 species